rnacentral:rRNA from 1 species
UACGUAGGGGGCUAGCGUUGUCCGGAAUCAUUGGGCGUAAAGCGCGCGUAGGCGGCCCGGUAAGUCCGCUCUGAAAGUCCAGGGCUCAACCCUGGAAUGCGGGUGGAUACUGCCGGGCUAGAGUCCGGAAGAGGCGAGUGGAAUUCCUGGUGUAGCGGUGGAAUGCGUAGAUAUCACUUGGAACGCCAAUGGUGAAGACAGCUCGCUGGGGGGUGUCCUGACGCUGAGGCGCGAAAGCCAGGGGAGCGAACGGG